rnacentral:rRNA from 1 species
CAUCUCUUUUUGUUAUUGAUUUAAGGUUUAAUCUGCUCAAUGAAUAUUUAAAUUGCUGCGGUAAUUUAACUGUACGAAGGUAGCAUAAUAAAUUGGUUUUUUAUUGAAAUCUGGUAUGAAUGAUUGGACAAGGGGUUAGCUGUCUUUUUUUUAUUAUUUGAAUUUUACUUUAGAGUGAAAAGGCUUUGAUUUUAUUAAGGGACGAGAAGACCCUAUAGAGUUUUAUUUGUUGAUGUUUUAUGGAGUUUUUCUUAUUUAAGUUUAUAUUUUGUUGAUUAAUUUAGUUGGGGUAGUUGGAAGAUUAGUUAAAUUCUUCUUUUAUUUUAUCAUUUAUUUGUGCAUUUAUUGUAAGUAUUUAUUGAUUAUAAAUUAAAUUACCUUAGGGAUAACAGCGUGAUUUUAUUUCAAAGUUCUUAUUUGAUAUGAAGGUUGCGACCUCGAUGUUGGAUUAAAAUUAAAUUUUGGUGUAGGGAUCAAGAGGUUAAGUCUGUUCGACUUUUAUAAUUUUACAUGAUCUGAGU